GCCCGGAUGGCGGAAUUGGCAGACGCGCCAGACUCAAAAUCUGGUGUCUUUACGGACGUACCGGUUCGACCCCGGUUCUGGGCA
rnacentral:tRNA from 2 species